UACAGAGGUCCCAAGCGUUGUUCGGAUUCAUUGGGCGUAAAGCGCGUGUAGGCGGCUUGGUAAGUCCGGUGUGAAACCUUGGGGCUCAACCCCAAGCCUGCACUGGAUACUGCCUCGCUUGAGUCCGGGAGGGGAGAGCGGAAUUCCUAGUGUAGCGGUGAAAUGCGCAGAUAUUAGGAAGAACACCGGUGGCGAAGGCGGCUCUCUGGAACGGUACUGACGCUGAGACGCGAAAGCGUGGGGAGCGAACAGG
rnacentral:rRNA from 1 species